GAUGAAGAACGUAGUGAAAUGCGAUACGUAAUGUGAAUUGCAGAUCUCUCAGUGAACCAUCGAAUUUUUGAACGCACAUUGCGCCCCCUGGUAUUCCGGGGGGCAUGCCUGUCCGAGCGUCAUUGCUGCCCUCAAGCACGGCUUGUGUGUUGGGCUUCGCCCCCCGAAGAUCGGGGGGCGGGCCCGAAAGGCAGCGGCGGCACCGCGUCCGGUCCUCGAGCGUAUGGGGCUUUGUCACCCGCUCUGUAGGCCCGGCCGGCGCCCGCCGGCGACACCCAAAUCAAUCUAUCCAGGUUGACCUCGGAUCAGGUAGGGAUACCCGCUGAACUUAAGCAUAUCAAUAAGCGGAGGA
rnacentral:misc_RNA from 1 species